CCUACGGGAGGCAGCAGUGAGGAAUAUUGGUCAAUGGACGCAAGUCUGAACCAGCCAUGCCGCGUGCAGGAAGACGGCUCUAUGAGUUGUAAACUGCUUUUGUACGAGGGUAACCUCCUAUCCUCGUCUCUGUCUGCCCGUCUCGUCCGCCUCCGGCUCGGCUCCCUCCGUGCCCGCCGCCGCGGUCCUCCUGCGGAUUCCCUCGUUAUCCGGAUUUCUUUGUUUUCAAGGGUUCUUCUUCUGUCGGAUAAGUUAUCUUUUAACUCCCGAGGCUCAACUUCGGACUUGCCUCUGAUACUGUUCGGCUAGAGAGUAGUUGCGGUAGGCGGAAUGUAUGGUGUAGCGGUGAAAUGCUUAGAGAUCAUACAGAACACCGGGGGCGAAGGCAGCUUACCAAGCUACUUCUGACGUGGAGGCACGAAAGCGUGGGGAGCAAACAGGAUGAGAUACCCUAGUAGUC
rnacentral:rRNA from 1 species